rnacentral:rRNA from 1 species
UACGGGGGGGGCAAGCGUUGUUCGGAAUUACUGGGCGUAAAGGGCUCGUAGGCGGCCAACUAAGUCGGAUGUGAAAUCCCCAGGCUCAACUUGGGAACUGCAUCCGAUACUGGAUGGCUUGAAUUCGGGAGAGGGAUGCAGAAUUCCAGGUGUAGCGGUGAAAUGCGUAGAUAUCUGGAGGAAUACCGGUGGCGAAGGCGGCAUCCUGGACCGACAUUGACGCUGAGUGAGCGAAAGCUAGGGGAGCAAACGGGAUUAGAUACCCCUGUAGUCC